GCGUUUUCCAGGCCCUGCCGCGCGCCGUCGUUCCCGGCGUGCCCUGCGCCGACAUGGCCGACAUGUUCGACGGGAUCGUGAUGGCCGAGCAGCGGUUCCACGGUGAGGGCUAUCAGGAGGGAUAUGCCGAAGGCAGCCACAUUGGGAUUGCUGAGGGAAGGAGGUACGGAUCGCUGCACGGUGCCAAGAUCGGGUCGGAGAUUGGCUGCUACCUUGGGUUUGCACUGACGUGGCGCUGCCUGCUCCAGAAAUGCACAGAUGAAAAGAGCAGCAGAAAGAUAAAGGCUCUGGAGUCAUUAAUAGGGAUGAUUCAGAAAUUCCCGUACGAAGACCCCACUUAUGAUAAGCUACAGGAAGAUCUGGAAAAAAUCAGAGGAAAAUUUAAACAGGUCAUUCCAGAGUUACGGAGCGAUGUGUGUGUGAUAUAAUAUCUCAUCCUGAUUGAAGAGAAAGGCUUUGGUUUGAAACAAAAGGCUUAGUAUUUUUUGUAAGAGCUGGACAAAUAUCAGAAAAAUCAUCAUUCCUCAAACUAAUGAGAAUGAAACAAAUGGUGUUGGAGAAAAAGGUGGAGAGACUUUUUCAAGGAGCUUUGACUUUGCCUGAAGUUCUUCAGCAGAAGUGUGGGAGAAAGAGAUCCCUGAAGACACCUGAACAAAUCCAUUAGAAGAAGAAGAAGAAGAAGAAGAAGGAGUCCUCUUAAAUGUUCACAUCUCGCACAUCAGUGGGCGUGCAGGAAAGGUCUGCUUCGUCCUCUACAGUCUUUGUUUCUGAAGAUACGUUGUGCUGCUGUGCCUGACGUAGACUGGAUUCCAGGAGGGAUUCAAUCUGUUCUUGGCAGGCCCGUAAACAAUCCUAGAGGAGGUUGAAUGGAUGGAGAGAAAGACCCAAGAGUCCUUUAGAAACACGGUAAGGCCACAGACUAAAACAGCAUUUCUUUAGAAAAAGCAGGGGGAAUAUAAUCAGGUUAUCUGGGAGAGCUGCAGGCCGAGAGGAGGGCGGGGAGAGCAAGAGAAACCCCAAACAGCGACAUGAUUGGGACGAGCCACCCAAUUUCCUGCAGGAUGCCAGCCUGGAUUGAGACUUUAGCAACUAACUCUUGCCAUCUGCUGCGGAUGGAAUGGCCUAGGGGAGUAUCCCCACGGACACACCAUCACUGCCCACAGACCUACAGCUGAACGUGGUGGAUGCCCCACUACACUGAGAUGUGUUUUAACUAAGCUGGGCAGGACCACAGGAAGAUGUACAUUUUCUGCCUGUGCUGUUCUCUGAAAGCCCAUUGGUCCUAAAAUCGUGCUUUCUACCUUUACCCCAGGAAUGCUUUGGCAGUGCAGUCUGCUGGAAAUGAUGGCCAUAAGCAGUGAAUAUUUUCUCAGGCUAAAUUCCACUAAUAUGAACUUCUUACAUAGAAAUGCCAUAUAUAUAUUUGGAUGUACAUGCCCAAAGGUUCCUGCCAACUGCUGCUGUGUCCAACAGUGGGCAGCUCAACUUGGCUAAGCCUUUCCUAACUCUGAAAGCAUCUGUACAUCCAGAAUGAUGUACUGGACUGCAUGACCCCAAAAGGGAGAGAUCUUUCAGGAGCACCACUAAACUCCUCCAUAAUCUUUCAUUACCAGCUGCAGCCAAGCUUUCUGUUUGCUACCACAUUCACCUUGACAUCUCAGACAGGGUGGGAUCUUUUUUCCCCUCACUUCCAAAGCAUUUUCUCAGAGCUGGAUGUGCACAACAAUCCUCCUGAGGGAGGGUGCAAGGGCCUCGCUGCUUUCACAGACUUCGCUUGUGAAUCAAAAGCACAAAGCGCCAAGGAGGAUCAUGUCUGUGGUGGGGAAAGGUAACUUCCCCCAGGCAUUAAACCAUUCCAUGAGUAGUCAUAUCUAAAUCACAGCAAUUAGAACUGGAGAAGGCCUGCUGGUCCAACUUUCUGCGAGCUGUGGAGCCACUGGAACAACACGGGAACGGUGCCUUGCGCAGGCAAAACAAUCCCACAAUAUUUUGCCACAACUCCUCCAGCCAGCUGUUUACUCGUAUCUUUAUAACAAACAUUGCAGGCUUUUUCCCCCCAACAUAUUUAACUCUGUGUAUUAAGGACUUUGAAGUUUCCUUUCAGCAUUGCCUUCUCUGAUUUAACCUAUGACAUGUGUUAGCCCUUGCGGUGAACCCAGUCUUCCAUGAUAAAUUGCCGUCAAAAGUGUUAGGAUGUGCAUGACUGAGAAUGAAUGUUGUUUUCCUGAGAGGGUGACCUGCCUGCUGUUUUCUUUAUUUCCCAGUUUCAAUUCUGCCUUCAUUCAGAGGCUUCUUGUGUGAUCUGCCAGCUUUUCACUGAUUCCACUACCACAAGAAUCUCCUCUGCCACCAAUGAGGGCACAUGGCAUUUGGGGUAAAAUAAGAUUAGAAACCCAAGCAAACAAUUCUCUGCAAGUCCUUUCUGAGAGAGAGGGAGGUUAAUCCUACCUCUAAGCAGAUCAGACCAUCAGUUACAGCUCACUGAAAACACAUAACCUAUGACCUUUCCUGGUUUAAACCCUAGUGUAAUAUUUCCUCUUGACAGAGACACACAGCGUUUUAAAUGACAAAAAGAAACGCCUCAUAUCCUAAAGUCAUCAUGCCUUUGGCUCCUGCAUACCUCAGGCCUGCACAAUAAGGUCUCUAUGAAGUCCUUUCCCCCCUCCCCCCUCAAGAUAUGAUGGAUCAAUCCUGAACUGUAAAACCUUCUCCUCGUCCUGUACCACAUCCCUCGGUCACACUUGGAAUUCGAUGUGUUCAAGAGGAGCACCUGGUUUUACAAACCCAGGCGCUUCUGAGGAUAAUUCUUGUUUUAACAAGGUGGCAUGUUCAGCCUUCCAUGCUCAAAGGAAAUUUAUGUUCAGAGCAAAAUGAACCCUUCUGGGUUUGGGGUGGGUUUUUUUUUGGUUGGUUUUUGUUUGUUUGUUUGUUUUUUGUUUUCUGUUUUUGUGGUGGGGGAGUGGAUUGUCUGGUAAGUUUUGAUGGGAAUUUUGUGGGAGGUUUUUUUGGGGGCUUUUUUUGGUUUUUUUUUUAAUCCUAACCAUUUGCAUACAGCAUGUUUGAGCUCUGAAAACUAAAACCAUUCAAAAGAAUUUCUAUAAAUACCUAUUGUUCUCCCUCUGGAGUCCAGUUAUGAAUAAUUGCAUAGGACUAUGUAAUUUAAAGGUACUUUCUGACCACAGAAUUUUUUUCCUUUGAAAUUCUCAAGCGUGCAGCAUGUUGUAACUGUAUUUUUUUUAAAACUUAAUCUUUACAAUUUAUUACAAACAGACUGUUUGAAGCUACACUUGAAUGAGAACUAAUUUUUUAAUGUUUUAAGGAUUUUGUUCAUUGCUUAUUCACAUGACUAUUAGAUAAAUAGUUUGCCUGCAGGAAUGCAUUUAGAGCUAGCAAAAAUACCUGCAAAAUAUAAAAUUCUCUACGAACGACCUCAGCAAAGCUGUUUCCAUUCUCAGUGCUUCUGAGCACUGAAAAGCAAAUACAGAACUUGUGCAUUACUCUGAUAACUUCUCCCAACAACUUUUCUGCUUCACUACCCAAAUUUUCAAUGCCCACAGUUUGUUCAAGGUCAUAAACCCUUCCUGGAUUAAUUAAGCUCCUCAGUGGAGGGAAAAAAAAAAAAAAAAAAAGAGACUUUCUAGCUUAACUGAUGUGGUGAAAUACCUUCAAGACACAGUAGACAUGAUCAGACUCCAGGGUCAGAUAGCAAAGGAAACAAACAACAACAACAAAAAGAAACUGCUUGGAAAUCCUUUGUUACUGCCUGACCCGUCCUGGAUAACAAGCACAUGUUUGAAGGUGCCUCUGAGAAGGGGCAGGCAGGAGGCGAAUUCCAGUGUACUAACAGACAGCGUGGAGACCCAAUCUAAUCUAGUUUAGCAAAUUUCUGGCCUGGAAAUGAAUGUCAGGUAAAAUUCCAUCUGUUUGGAUGAUGGGGUCAAGAAUAGAAUGAUGGAAGACAGCCCAAGGCUUCUAAUUGUGAUUAUCUGACUUCUAAUUACCCCUGAUCAAAGGCGAAAUGGGAAAUUGGACUCCUACCAACGUAAACAUGAACCAUAAAGGAAUUCCAAUCAGGUGAUAUUCAUUUUACUUUAGGUUCAGCUUUCUCUGAGAUGAGAGGUAAAAAAGUGUAAUUAUGUAACCUGAAAUCCAACAGACCAGCUAACAGACAAUCAGCAUCUUAAUAUUUCAAGGCAAUCCAAUACAAAGCAUAUCUGCUUGUGAAGCCUGACAAGGGGAAGCAUCACUGGGGAAGAGCACAGUUCACACACGUGCUACUGAAACAGGCUAAUAGGAAGGGCAUUUGAUAGCAUGGAUUGCAUAGGUACAUCUUAUGGGAAAGACUCUCUGCAGGGGAACUGUGUUGGGUGUGAAACCACCAGACUUCUCUGCUCAGAGCAACUGUAGUGAUGAGAGCUGCUGUUCCCUUAUUCCACUACAACAGUGUAUGUACACACACGUAUAAUUUUAUGAUGCUAAUUUUCUGUAGCAUCCCAUAUAAAAAUCCUUAUCCCUACUUCCAACUGCUCCAACACGUGCCUUAUAUUUAGCACUGAGAGCUGGAGGGGAGUUGCUUCCUUUUAAAGCUGACAAUUAAGCUCAGGUCAGACUGUGGCCUUGCACUGACUAUGGACAAUAAAAAAAUUAAAUAAGCAAAAAUUCGCUUUCUUGCUAAAAGAACGCUUGUUUUCUUUUUAAAGAGCUCUGUCACCAGCUAAGUCAAGUUCACAUAAGGACGUGCUGUUGUUCUCCAAGAUGUGAGAGAAUCUACUUCAAUGCUCCCUAUCAGGAAUGAUUAAAUAAUGUUGUUUGAAUCAAAAUACUGCCUCAACAGAUAGCAAUCCUAGUGUUUCCCCUCAGUACCUGCUUCAAACAUCUCACACUGGACAGUGGCCAACCCAUACACUGAAAUAUCUGCAUUGUUCACUAAAAGCAUUACAUGUACAUAUCAAACUGAGCAGUGUAUUAUUUCAGCAUUUCAGCUUCUCAUAAUAUUUCACAUUUCAGCACUGUAUUAUUACUUUAGCCACAGUAAUAUAAAUGGCAAAAUAACACUCAGUGCUGAGGCACUGUUAAGGUGAUCAACAUAAUAAGCUGAGAAAUUGUAUUUUUCAGCAAUUGUUUCACAUGGUCUAUCAAAGGUGAAGUAAUUCUUUUGUGAAUAUUCAGUUAUGAUGCAUUCAUCUUUCCAGAAAUCCCUCAAUCCAGUCAACAAAGUCCCGUGAGACAAACCUAGUUUUGCAGUGGCUGGACUAGUACAGUUCUCUGUGCAUUUAAAAUUAUUAACAUGCAAAAUAAUUUAACAGCAUCUCAAAGAUUCUGCCGCUAACCACAGAGUUGUCUUUAUUUGACUCAUUGUCCAGCGCUUGGAGACCUCACAAGAACCUUUUUAAAGCAUCUAUUUAUUGGUCUUCCACAUUGUUACAAAACAAAGCUCAACUCUGCCCCAACUUCACACACCAUUAUGACAUGGAUCAUUGACUUUAGGUCUUCCUUGUAGGCUCCCUUCCUGGCCCAUUCACUCAUGAAAGGUUUAUUGCUCACUAGUUACUGAUGUGCAUCUCCUGGAAGCUGCAGGGCAAAAUGAGAGUCCUGUGAGGACCAUCUACCUUGUCAGAAAGUCGUGGGACAAGCAUUUGUUCCAAAAAGGAAUUCAAUACCAGCUACUGUGCAGGUCUAGCACGUAAUAAACCAAAUUAGAUCAUUAGAACUCUUUUAAGAAGGGCUUUUUCACACCACUUGGCACAAUAAAAGGCCUCGAGAAUGGUCAAAGAUAAGGUCAGAGAUACCACGAGGUCUCAGUAACUAUUUCCUCGUCUUAUUCUCGAAGUUUUGUUUUACACAGACUCCUGGUUUAAUUACCCACAGCCAAACAGCCCCUGCAAGGUCCUGAGUGGAUGCCGGGCUUUGUCAGAUAACGCCUCCCUCACACACAUUAGAGCUGGAUGUGGCACUGCAGCAGCGUAAUCACAGAUUAUUAACGGAUGUAAUGACCGCCAAAUAACCAGAAUGGACAACACAAGAGAAACACAUUCAAAAACCCCACUCGGUGCUUUGACUUUUACCAGGAUUUACUGUCAGAUUAGCUACUAUGCAACGAGCAGGAGUUCAUUCUUAAAAAAACAGGAGAUCAACCAAGAGAAAGAGUCACUUACCGGAUCACAUUUGAUAACUUGUGAUAGGAAAUGUGUGAGGCAUUGAUAGGAGAGGAAAGUGUUAGUGUUCCCCAGAUGCAGGCCUUGCACAGCUGCUACCACACUGCCAGCUGCGAUCAUGGAAGGUGGGUUUGAAAUAAAUUUAAUAUCUGUAUGAAGAAAGGAGAGAAAAAAAAAAAAGAAAAAAAAAAAAAAAAAGACUGAAAUGAUUGCUUUAGGAGAAGCCUGUCCAUACACAUACAUUCUUCUAAGCAGCAUGGCUUCAGCUGCCAACUAUUGCAUCCCAAAAGGCAAGGGAAAACUGUGAGCAGAAAGGUGCCUCCUGCUCCAAACUGUUACAGGUCCGAACCUGUAAACACUUUUAUCCCCACGAGCAACCGUAGUGCAGUGAGUAGCCCUUCCUAGCACUGGGCCUGGGAGGCCAUUCAUCACUUGGAGGUGUUUUUUAUCGUAAGCAGGGCCCUCAUUCUUCAAAUGUUAAAAUGCUUUGCUCAUGUGGAUAACGCCACUGGGGGUCAAUGGCACUAUCCAUCUGAGAAAACCUGUUCCCGUUGGGAAGUGCUUCGCAGGAUCAGACCCUAGGUGCACUCUCAUAACAAGUCCUCAGGCCCUUUAAAGCAGAAACCUUUGCACUGACAUCCAAAGGAAUAUUGCUUUAAUGAACAACAACAUCCACAAAAAGAAAGAAAAGAGAAAGGCUGCUUAACCCUGUCAGGAGGCAGAUAAUCCAUAUUUAAAUUACGGUUUCAUCUUAAAAACGCUUUGUCUCAACCUAGUCUCUUGUCAGUGGCUGCCAUCCAUCCUGGCAACAGGGAUUUAAUGUAAAUGUGGCAUAACUAAGUGACGGGGGUCCCAAGAAUUGGCGGACAAUCAGUUACAUUCUGAUGUGACACCAUGCUGACAAGAGGCUGGGCCCCCUUCCAGACUGCAUUGCUGUAGGUCUCUCCACAAAGCCACUCCCAUGAUUCCUUAAGGGGCUAUCUCUGCCAUUUAGCAUCUCUUUCGUUUUGUUGUUUUGUUUUGAGGGUGUUGUUUUGUUUUGUUUUUUUUUAAUAAUAAUAACCCCCAUUUUAAUUGCUAA